CAAGAAAAAUAGGAGAAUUUCUUGGAGAAAUUUCCGGUAGUAUCUUAUUUAUUUGGACAAUUAGGAGGUACUAUAAGUUUCUCAUGCUUUUUCGGCAAUGUGCAGGACUUUCUAGAAGUGGCUUCUUAACCAAUGAUGUAUUAUUCUUUUAAAAGGCCGCCAACAGUGGCGACGAGGGGAUGUCAGAUGCAGAGGCUCUUGACCAGGGUUUGGUUGGGCCUUUGGAGCCACCCUAUGUUGCGUGUGCUCUUUUUUUUGAGAAUUUUUCUUCUCCCUCCCUAGCUAGAAAAUUGCUAAACACUGCAGUUGAGUAAUUGUGCAUGAAUAUGUAAAUUUGCUUCUUCUCAGAUGCAUGUACGCCUCACCUAGUACAGCUCGUGCUAAUUAGUUCUCUGACUACGUGCUAUUAGCAGCAGCAGAUGCUUUAGAUGAUGUGAAUCAACCUUGUAGAUAUGUGUUGUUUUCAUAGCUUGCUAGUAGCAGGAGAAAUAUACGUGCGAUUUCUGUUGAAUUUUGGAAUGUUUGAGAUGUCUUUUUAAUUGUGUGAAUGACACUGACAAACUACUCGUAUUCUGAAAAUGUCUGACUUUCAUUCACAGUAAUGCUUGAGAUGUUCUUUCUCAUGUAAUAUUGAAGAAAUAUGCAAGAAAUACAUUAUAUUGCUAGUUGGAGAACCAUGCUACUUGUACUGAGGCCCAUCACGGAUAAUGAUACCACGUGUUUUUAGAACAAGAAAGAUUUUCCAUUUUCUUUACAUGGGAUAGCACUCUCUUAUAAGGUAGUAUCACCUUAACCGGCUACCACACGGGAGGGACUUGCCAUUAUGCCAUCAUGCACUUUUCCACUCAUGACGCCAGCAGUCUUUAUAUGUCCAAUGCACUCUUUUCCGUUUACAAAACAUUGGCGAUCUGCUACAUCCAUGGCCUACGACACUUUUCCGUUUACAAAGAUAGUAUAUUGCUCUUCUAUUCUUUGAUGCCUCAAAGGGAUUUUUUUUUGGAAAGCAAGGGAGGCCCUCAAUGCAAAUGCUUGGAUAUUUCAGAUUAGCCACAAAAUCGUCAUCUCCUGUUCUCACAUCCGCCAAUUCUUCACCCUAUGGAUGCUUGUGCACGAUUUACAAGGAUACAAACUAUCCCUGACUCUCUGUUUUGACUUUGAUGCAAGCGUUCACAACUUGUUAUUUAGUUGACAGGACGCGCGCCAAAGUCGUAGAACAUGCGAAAGGGGGUAGCUAUAGCUUUGCCACGUCUAAUACCCAGACAAGCAAGCAUUUUUCACUGGUGCAUGCAUGCACACCAAGCUCGUGGACCUACAAACCACGAUGCCCCACUGACUACGACACCCACAAGGAUAACGAUAGUCGUGGACAUAUAAUGUGGCUUAAAACCCGGAGAUAGAGCAUGUUGCAUUGUCCAUGCCGUCCCCAGUAACCGAGGAGUGCAUGUCUCUGCNNNNNNNNNNACUAUCACAAGCUGUCCACCAAGAAAAAUAGGAGAAUUUCUUGGAGAAAUUUCCGGUAGUAUCUUAUUUAUUUGGACAAUUAGGAGGUACUAUAAGUUUCUCAUGCUUUUUCGGCAAUGUGCAGGACUUUCUAGAAGUGGCUUCUUAACCAAUGAUGUAUUAUUCUUUUAAAAGGCCGCCAACAGUGGCGACGAGGGGAUGUCAGAUGCAGAGGCUCUUGACCAGGGUUUGGUUGGGCCUUUGGAGCCGCCCUAUGUUGUGUGUGCUCUUUUUUUUGAGAAUUUUUCUUCUCCCUCCCUAGCUAGAAAAUUGCUAAACACUGCAGUUGAGUAUGUAAAUUGUGCAUGAAUAUGUAAAUUUGCUUCUUCUCAGAUGCAUGUACGCCUCACCUAGUACAGCUCGUGCUAAUUAGUUCUCUGACUACGUGCUAUUAGCAGCAGCAGAUGCUUUAGAUGAUGUGAAUCAACCUUGUAGAUAUGUGUUGUUUUCAUAGCUUGCUAGUAGCAGGAGAAAUAUACGUGCGAUUUCUGUUGAAUUUUGGAAUGUUUGAGAUGUCUUUUUAAUUGUGUGAAUGACACUGACAAACUAC
rnacentral:lncRNA from 1 species